AUUCUGCCCAAGCGGGGAAGGAUGAGAAGCUUCGACCAAGGUUCGACUUGAGCGCCAGCGAGAGAGCGUUGCCGCAGGCAA
rnacentral:sRNA from 2 species